rnacentral:rRNA from 1 species
AUUGAACGCUGGCGGCAGGCCUAACACAUGCAAGUCGAGCGGGGUUUUCGGACCUAGCGGCGGACGGGUGAGUAAUGCGUAGGAAGCUGCCCGAUAGAGGGGGAUACCAGUUGGAAACGACUGUUAAUACCGCAUAAUGUCUACGGACCAAAGUGGGGGACCUUCGGGCCAAAUGCUAUCGGAUGCGCCUACGUGGGAUUAGCUAGUUGGUGAGGUAAUGGCGCACCAAGGCGACGAUCUCUAGCUGGUUUGAGAGGAUGAUCAGCCACACUGGAACUGAGACACGGUCCAGACUCCUACGGGAGGCAGCAGUGGGGAAUAUUGGACAAUGGGCGCAAGCCUGAUCCAGCCAUGCCGCGUGUGUGAAGAAGGCCUUCGGGUUGUAAAGCACUUUCAGCGAGGAGGAAGGGUGGUGUGUUAAUAGCACAUCAUUUUGACGUUACUCGCAGAAGAAGCACCGACUAACUCUGUGCCAGCCGCCGCAGUAAAAC